GACGAACGUUGGCGGCGUGCCUAAUACAUGCAAGUCAACUGAAAUACCGGUAGCAAUACUGGUAUGGAGGUGGCGCACGGGUGAGUAACACGUAGGUAAUCUGCCUUCAGGUCUGACAUAACCCAUCGAAAGGUGAGCUAAUAUCAGAUGAUGCAGCGGCUUGACAUCAAGACAGUUGUUAAAGCUUCGGCGCCUGAGGAUGAGCCUGCGUCUGAUUAGCUAGUUGGCGGGGUAACGGCCCACCAAGGCUGCGAUCAGUAGCUGGUCUGAGAGGAUGAUCAGUCACACUGGAACUGAGACACGGUCCAGACUCC
rnacentral:rRNA from 1 species